rnacentral:rRNA from 1 species
UACGUAGGAUGCAAGCGUUGUCCGGAAUUAUUGGGCGUAAAGAGCUCGUAGGCGGCUUGUCACGUCGGAUGUGAAAGCCCGGGGCUUAACUCCGGGUCUGCAUUCGAUACGGGCUGGCUAGAGUGUGGUAGGGGAGAUCGGAAUUCCUGGUGUAGCGGUGAAAUGCGCAGAUAUCAGGAGGAACACCGGUGGCGAAGGCGGGUCUCUGGGCAACAACUGACGCUGAGGAGCGAAAGCGUGGGGAGCGAACAGG